rnacentral:lncRNA from 1 species
GACGACUAAAGAUGCUGCUUCAGAUUCUUCUGGUGGUGUUGGCAACUAGCAGCUAUGGGGCUGCCAAUAGUGCCCUACGUUAUGAACAUGUGCAACAAACAAGAUCUGUGGACGAUGGUGAGGUAGACCGAGAUAUCAAAAUGCUUGAAGAAGAAGAAGACGAAGAUGGGGAAGACGAAGAAGAUGAAG